rnacentral:misc_RNA from 1 species
GAAAUGCGAUAAGUAAUGUGAAUUGCAGAAUUCAGUGAAUCAUCGAAUCUUUGAACGCACAUUGCGCCCGCCAGUAUUCUGGCGGGCAUGCCUGUCCGAGCGUCAUUUCAACCAUCAAGCCCCCGGGCUUGUGUUGGGGACCUGCGGCUGCCCGCAGGCCCUGAAAACCAGUGGCGGGCUCGCUGUCACACCGAGCGUAGUAGCAAUCACCUCGCUCAGGGCGUGCUGCGGGUUCCGGCCGUUAAACAGCCUCUCUUUUAACCCAAGGUUGACCUCGGAUCAGGUAGGAAGACCCGCUGAACUUAAGC